AGAGGAAAGAAGAGGCCCAGCUAGACUGUAGCAAGGUUAGAAGAUACACGCAAGAUUGCCUGCCACACACAUCGGGUCUUGUUCCUGUCCAGUAUUUGCAUGGAGAUAUCAAGUUAAUUAGGGAGCUCUUUCUGAGAUGAAGAGAAUUCUCAAUGUCAAGAUUUGAACAAGAAGAGAAUGGAAUACACAAUAUGGACAUCCAUAAAAAUUCAUCAGAGAGCAUUUUACUACUGAGCUGCAAAGAUGACAAGAGCACCUCAAAGGCAGCAGCCUCAAGGAGCAGCCAUGGCCCCAGACUUGUCGCACGGAUGCAGAAAACUUAAUGGAGGAGGCUGAGGUCAGAAUGGGAAGAGUUUUUAAAAAAUAAAAAGGGGAGCUAAUAUGUGAGGAACUGAUUGCUGUGCAUUAUUUUCCACUGAACAGACCUUCUUUUAACUUCUAAUCUCAAGCACAUAGCAGCUGUUGUUUUCAUAUUAAAGAUCAGUAAGUGUUUGUUGAAUGAAUGUAUAAAUUCUUCCCCAAUCUCUGUUCCAUGUAAUAAGAACUAAGUUAGCAUUCAAUUAUAAAGAGGACUUAGAAAGUCUGCAGACAUUUUUGAUCAAAAAUCCUUUUAACUGUCUUCUUAUGGUUCCCGGUAACACCUAAGCCCAAAAAACUCAGGUCAUUUCUUGCCUGUACUGUUGCAAUAGCCUCAUAAUAACUAGUCUUCUCCUUUAUCAACCACAGUCGUCUCCGCUACACAAAGAAGAGAGGGUGCUAAUCUAAAGUGUAAAUUAUUUUAAAUCAGCACCCUUCUUGUAAUUUCCCAGUGGUUUUUCCUGUCAUAAGAAUAACAUGCAAAAUUCCUUGCUUGCAAAGCCAGGUAUGACCUUGCCCCGUCUACCUUACUGGCAUCGUCUCUCAUGACUCUUCCCCUUUUUCACUCUCCAUCUUGCCUUUUCCCAACCAUGCCUGCUAGUGAGCCUUAGCCCUUGUGUUUUCUCUGC
rnacentral:lncRNA from 1 species